rnacentral:lncRNA from 1 species
CUAAUUGUAUGCCAUUCUUGCAAAUAUUAUAUAGCCUCAACUUAUAAAGACGUAGCAGUGUUGGCUUCUUUAGUCAAUGGCGUUGGCUUACCACCCUUUGAAUUGGUGACCUUCUACUCUUUACAUCUUCAUCAUCUGCCUCAGUGUUUGAGGGUUUUCUAUCCAAAUACACCAUGAGAUCUUCAUUCAAUAAAUCCAAUUCUCAUAUUUGGUAUCUCCAAAGGUAUUGUUGCUGAAACUGGCAUAUUAAUCUGCACUAAAUUAUU